ACUGGAUUCUGAUUGGCUGGAAGUGUGCAUUAUAACUGUUUAUUGCACAGGUAGUUCCACUCAGUUUGAUCACCGUGAUCAUUUCUAAAUCUAAACCUUAACACACUACUGUAUCUGUGUGUCUGAUUUAUAUCAGGCAAAAUUCCAGAUCUAACGACCUAACUAAUAGUAAGUAACGGUUAUUUUAAACUUCUAAUCAAAGUUUGCGCUUCUAAACCAAUAACCAAUAACAGCUUUACUGUUAUUAAUUGUGGAAAGACCAUGGUAUAGGCGGGGUAAUCCAUGGCUAGGUGUGCAUUAAACGAUUUGAACGAGUGGUUCUUUUCCUCCACAUCAUGAAUUAAAAUCGUUUAAUGCACAUCUAGCCAUGGAUUACCCCUUACAUAUCAUCUGAGAGAGACAGCUAAUUCUGUAUGUAAACAGAAAUACUUACCAAUCACGACCUCUCCGAGUUGGAGAGCGGCCAAUGAAGUCUUUCCAUUGACUCCCCUCCAAUUGAGGUUCUUUUCCAGGGAGUUAGCAAUCACCCUCUUCAAUAUGCGCCAGGUGCAGUCGAGCACAUCCACCCUGUCAAUACGCGCCAACCAGUUUACCUGAAACCGAUUUAAAAAACAAAAAUUAUAUACACUGAUAUAAAAAUAAAUAAUUAAUAAGAAUGUAUUGGCUCGUCAGCUGUGUCAGUGCUUCUCACUACUCCUGCAGUUACCCUGCCCUGUGUGUUUUCCAUGUUUUCCUCCUCUACCGAAGAUUAGGUCAUAACUGUUCCCUCAUAUCAAAGUGGUGUUGAAUGUUGUGCUUUGAGUACGAGUGUGUCACCUUGAGAAAACAGAAACGCUCUCAGUAGCUGUGUAAUUGUGCAAGCAAUUGUUAACAAAAAAAAAAGAAAAGAAAAACGAUGUGAUGUCCUUAACCCUGCUACUCUUCUUCCAACAGAGGGAGACGGGGAACCACAUGACUGUGUUGUACUGACUAACGAACUCUGCUCUCCUAGAGUCAACCUGAAAGAUGUUCUAUUGGAAAACUCAGAUCUGAUCCUCUUUGUGGACGGGUCAGCAUCACGUGACCCAGAGACAGGUAAAAAUCGUGUGGGCUAUACAGUAGUGACCGUCAGGAAGUCUCCCCUCAAACCUUUCAGCCCGGGCAGCUGAAUUACACAUCCUCAUAGAAGCAUGUAAGUAUGCUAAGGGGCAAUCUGUAUCAAUUUACACAGACAGUAGGUAUACCUGUGGUGUAGUGCAUGAUUUUGGGACAAUUUGGAAACAUAGGAACUUCCUGAUGAGGUCAGGAACACAUAUAGCCCACCACAAGCUAGUCUCUGAGUUGUUGGAUGCUGUCCUGCUCCACAAGACUAUUGCAGUAUGCAAAUGUGAUGCACACACUAACAAAUUAGACCCUGUUUUCCUAGGAAACGCUCGAGCAGACAGUGCAGCAAAGCAAGCAGCUGCAUCUAUGGUCCCAAAACUCAAAAGAAAAUAAUCACUCCUUCUUUACAGCUUUCAGACCUCCACGGGCUACAGACAAGGAAAAGGCUGUGUGACGCAAAGCAGGCUGCACGGUUGUUGACGGAGUUUGGCAAUGCCCCCAUUGCUGUCCUUGUCUUCAAAGUUGGGGGAAUGAUAGCUGCGAAAAGCAUUGGUUUGUCUAAUUACUCUAGAAAAAAAUUUGUUUAUGCUGUUUGCACAACUCAUAACGUGGGUUGAGGUUUGAAGGUAGAGAAGGCCACGUCCCUACGUGUAUCUCCAGUGAUCAUGGCACACCUUUUGUGAGUCAUGCCCUUAAGUAGGUGGAUGAAUAUUUGGGUAUUGGCUUAAAGCAGCACUGUGCAUAUCAUCCAGCUAGUGGUGGGGUGGUAGAGCGAAAAUGGGACACUAAAAAACAGACUGCGCAAAUGCUGUUCUGAAACAGGCUUAGGAUGGGCUCAACCCCUUUGGGAUACUGUUUGGGAGACCUCCACACACAGGCAUUGGACCUGUGACAGCUCCUCUUCCCGACGCUGCAGCAUGUGAUGAUGUAAUGUUAAAUUACUGUGCAACCCUGUCCUCUGCUCUGCACUCUAUCCACAAGCAGGUAAAGGCAGCAUUUCCAGCUCCAGCCACGGGUCCGCUGCAUGAUCUGAAGCCCGGAGACUGGGUUGUGAUCAAAGACUUCCACAGGACCAGGUGGAACAAGCCACACUGGUCUGGGCCAUUCUAGAUCCUUUUUCGUCACUCACUCUGUGGUAAAGGCCAGCCAGAGAGCCAUGUCGAUGCACGCCAGCCACUGCAGGAGUGUGCCAGAGCUGAGCACUGAGCUGGAGAGGACGGGACUGCAACAGGAGAGCUAGACCAUAAUUCUCUAUCAAGAGGAAUGUCUGAACAUCCGCUAAUACCUUGAAACCACCAAACUGGCUCAAACCUCCUAGAACUCUCUUUUUGAUACUCGCAGAUGUCCAGCUCUCCUUAUCUUAAAACUUAUACAGGGCAUGUGAGAGAGGAGUGCUUCAGAGCACUCUCAUCUUCUGUCCUGCUUUCUUCUAUCCUGUAUUCAUCCUUCUGUAAUAAACCUUUUUCACCUGA